ACGAGUCCUGAGCAUGCUCCGAGUUCUAGUAUGUCUUUGUGUUGUUAUCGUUGCUGGAUUUUGAAGAUCUAUCCAAAGGAGGAAGAAAAGUGAUGGAGAUCCUAUUCCACUGAUUUACAAACUGGGGGAACCCUUCCACUGAGACAUAGCAACUAGGCCCCUUAUUGAGAAUGAGGUGAAGAUUCCUGCCAAAAGGAGACAUCUCCUAUCACAGCUGACCUAGCAGUGGUGCUCCACUCUUUUUGACAAGCGGAAAGGAAUGGCUGAAGGCUGUUGGAAAAGAUGCAUCUGUCAGUGCCUACCCUGAGGUUGAGGCAGUCAGAAACCAGAAAAGUCCUUGACUUACUAUGGUCACUGUUUAUCUUUAAGAGGAUGUUCUUAUUCUUUGUUUUAUGAAUUUUGGGUUUUUUGCUACUUGUAUUGUGAGAAAUGGGGUAAUCUUUACAAAGCUACUGUCUUAUGUUACUAAUUUGUGUGAGUGACGCAUGCAUGUAAAAUGAUAAAGAGUGAAGGCACCCACCACUAUGCCCAGAGAGGGCUGAGGAGGAGUAAGAGACUCAGAAAAAAAAGGGGAUUGUCAGAACUCUGGAGCUGAACAGACGCACAAUGCUAGAUAAGGGGCAGAUUGACAACUCUGGAGCUGAGGAAUGUACCCCCAAAGGACAAGUUAACCAACUCAAAUCAAAACCAGAAGUGUGGCAACUCCCAGCAAUACCCAUCAGAAUGUUAAUGAAGGAUAACUACACCAACAGCCUUUUGAUAAACACUUGUUAAAGAGUAAUUAAUUACAACAUGACAUUGCAAAAUCCAUAGACUGAAAUGGGGAGUUAUAACUAUAAAAUAGGGUACAUUGCCAUGGGACUUUGGGUUCCUUGCGCAAGAGCCAUUCUUCCUGAAAAAAUGAGGAAGAAUGGCUCUUG